UACGUAGGGUGCAAGCGUUGUCCGGAAUUAUUGGGCGUAAAGAGCUCGUAGGCGGUCUGUCGCGUCGGAUGUGAAAACCCGGGGCUUAACCCCGGGCCUGCAUUCGAUACGGGCAGACUCGAGUGUGGUAGGGGAGACUGGAACUCCUGGUGUAGCGGUGAAAUGCGCAGAUAUCAGGAAGAACACCGGUGGCGAAGGCGGGUCUCUGGGCCGCUACUGACGCUGAGGAGCGAAAGCGUGGGGAGCGAACAGG
rnacentral:rRNA from 1 species